rnacentral:rRNA from 1 species
AAUCCACGGGACGCAGCAGUGGGGAAUAUUGCGCAAUGGGCGAAAGCCUGACGCAGCGACGCCGCGUGAGGGAUGAAGGUCUUCGGAUCGUAAACCUCUGUCAGCAGGGAAGAACGGUCACUGUGCUAAUCAGCAGUGAAUUGACGGUACCUGCAAAGGAAGCACCGGCUAACUCCGUGCCAGCAGCCGCGGUAAUACGGAGGGUGCGAGCGUUAAUCGGAAUUACUGGGCGUAAAGCGCUCGUAGGCGGUAUGGCAAGGCAAGGGAGAAAUCCCCGCGCUCAACGGGGGAACUGCCUUUGAAAC